AGCGUGGAGGGCCUGGAAGGCUUGGCUUUGCAGUGUGGACUGGACCCUGCAGACCCGGCCUUGGCAAGCUCUUGCGCU
rfam:Myotis davidii contig34754, whole genome shotgun sequence.